GAUGAACGCUGGCGGCGGGCUCCUCACAUGCAAGUCGAACGAAGCACUUUAUUUGAUUUCCUUCGGGACUGAUUAUUUUGGGACUGAGGGGCGGACGGGUGAGUAACGCGGGGGUAACCUGCCUUGUACAGGGGGAUAACAGUUGGAAACGGCUGCUAAUACCGCAUAAGCGCACAGCAUCGCAUGAUGCAGGGGGAAAAACUCCGGGGGUAUAAAAUGGACCCGCGUCUGAUUAGCUGGUGGGGGAGGUAACGGCCCACCAAGGCGACAAUCAGAAGCCGACCUGAGAGGGUGACCGGCCACAUUGGGACUGAGACACGGCCCAAACUCCUACGGGAGGCAGCAGGGGGAAAUAUUGCACAAGGGGGGAAACCCUGAUGCAGCGACGCCGCGGGAAGAAAGAAGGUCUUCGGAUUGUAAACUCCUGUUGUUGAGGAAAAUAACGACGGUACUCAACAAGGAAGUGACGGCUAACUACGUG
rnacentral:rRNA from 1 species